rnacentral:rRNA from 1 species
GUGGGGAAUCUUGCGCAAUGGGCGAAAGCCUGACGCAGCCAUGCCGCGUGAAUGAUGAAGGUCUUAGGAUUGUAAAAUUCUUUCACCGGGGACGAUAAUGACGGUACCCGGAGAAGAAGCCCCGGCUAACUUCGUGCCAGCAGCCGCGGUAAUACGAAGGGGGCUAGCGUUGCUCGGAAUUACUGGGCGUAAAGGGCGCGUAGGCGGAUCGUUAAGUCAGGGGUGAAAUCCCAGAGCUCAACUCUGGAACUGCCCUUGAUACUGGCGAUCUUGAGUGUGGGAGAGGUAUGUGGAACUCCGAGUGUAGAGGUGAAAUUCGUAGAUAUUCGGAAGAACACCAGUGGCGAAGGCGACAUACUGGCUCAUUACUGACGCUGAGGCGCGAAAGCGUGGGGAGCAAACAGGAUUAGAAACCCCGGUAGUCC